GCAUCGAUGAAGAACGCAGCGAAAUGCGAUACGUAAUGUGAAUUGCAGACACCGUGAAUCAUCGAAUCUUUGAACGCACAUUGCGCCCUUUGGUAUUCCGAAGGGCAUGCCUGUUCGAGCGUCAUUACACCUUCUACAAAGGUUUUGGGGAUGGCACAGCCGCCCUUAAAAAGCUUGGUGGUAACUGGAACCCACGCACAGUAAUCUCUGCGAAGGCGACCAGGUAAACACCGAAAACUCUUCUGUUUGACCUCGGAUCAGGUAGGGAUACCCGCUGAACUUAAGCAUAUCAAUAAGCGGAGGAA
rnacentral:rRNA from 1 species